UACGUAGGGGGCAAGCGUUGUCCGGAAUCAUUGGGCGUAAAGCGCGUGUAGGCGGCUUGGUAAGUCUGCUCUGAAAGCCCGGGGCUCAACCUCGAGACGUCGGCGGAAACCAUCUGGCUAGAGUCCGGAAGAGGAGAGUGGAAUUCCUGGUGUAGCGGUGAAAUGCGCAGAUAUCAGGAAGAACACCCGUGGCGAAGGCGGCUCUCUGGGACGGUACUGACGCUGAGACGCGAAAGCGUGGGGAGCGAACAGG
rnacentral:rRNA from 1 species